GUCCCUGCAUUUUUUGUAGGGAGCUCAAACUGAAUGUGUUCCAAUAAUCCUCAUGGCGCAAUGAUCACGUUCCUAAAUGUAAGGAAAAAAAUUUUUUCAAACCCUGAAAUAUUUUUAUAUAGUGAUUAUCUGAACAUGCAUUUUUCCAGGAUGUGAGGAAAGAAUUUUGUAGCGGAAGAAAGACAGCAUGACAAUGCAAGAGAAGAGAUCGUUAUUGCAAUAUAGAGGUUGCCUUCUCACAAUUUCCUAAUUGCAUGUAGAUGUAUUUAAUCCAAGUGCUUCUCUUUGUGGUUGAAUAAUUUUUUUAGUCACAUCUUUUUCCCUUUUUUUUGUAAAAUACAUUUCUCCAUUUGCUUAUCUCUCUGCUUCGCCAUGUUUCCCCAUUAUCUAAUUGACCAGGAGGUUGACUUGAGAGAGUAGGAGAAUAGAGAGGCUCCUUAGAGGCUGAGACACCUGGAGAUGAGGUAAAUGGAACAAGGAAAAUGAGCCUUACGACAAAAACCGUUUCAUAUUCUUAUUGUUCUUAGGAUGUUCUUAUAAUGUUUACAUUGGUGUUCUACCCUUUUCAUAUUUAUGUCUAAUUAUUUGUUCUUAAUUUUUUUAUUUCCUCCACAGCAGGAGCUUAUUACUCAGGUCAUUGAAGAACAGUUGGAUUGGCACCCCGGUUUGAUUCAUUAAUGAUGAGAAGUCAAAGCUAUUGAUACAAGAAAAAACAAAUAGAUCAAGAAAACCCAACUUCUUCCCCUGGUUAGUAUCCCCUUCAGUGUGCUUAUUUACAUUCCGUUGGCUACUCAAAAUGGUGUGGAUGUUUUCAGCUAUCAGUCACGCUUGAAGAAGAUGGUUUGUUUUUGUAUGUUGACUUGCUUGCUUGACGGUGUGGCUGUUUUGAUUUUUUCAACUAUCCUGAUUAUGUGAUUAUCUUUUUUAAUUUUUUUUCCAACCCAAUAAUGUGGCUGCUUUUUAUUAUUAUUAAACUAGCCUUUCAAUGUGCUUGGUUUCUUUUUCAAAAUUUGGCCAAUUAGCAUGACUGUCUGGCUUCUUUUAACUAUUUGACUAGCCAGAUGGUGUGGUUGUGCUAUUUGUUCUAUCAGCUGGACAAAUCUUUCUGCUUUUAUUUGUUCAGUCAACUCGACUGAUGCGUUUUUUUUCCUUUCGGCAAGACAUUUUGACUGUUUUAACACUGAUUUGUGUAUGGUGUUUAAUAUUAUGGUCAACCCUUUGACAAUUGUAUCUUCUCUGUCCGUUUGACUUUGAUAUGCAUCAAGGUGGUUCAUUGAUAAUUUUCCGAGACCCAUUGUGGUGCAAAAGGUGUUCCUCAUGUUCAGCAUCAUUUAUCUGUUUUAGUUUACUUUCUGUGCCAACAGACAUCAAAAUAAUUAUCAGAAGGGACAUCAAGUAGCCUUUUGUCAGUGCCCAACA
rnacentral:lncRNA from 1 species